GCCCGCAUAGCUCAGCGGUAGCAGCGCUCGCAUUGUAGGCGAGAGGUCGCAGGUUCGAUCCCAUGCUGCGGGCACCA
rnacentral:tRNA from 2 species